rnacentral:rRNA from 1 species
AGUCGACGAGACCUUCGGGUCUAGUGGCGCACGGGUGCGUAACGCGUCGUGUAAUCUGCCCUUGGGUUCGGAAUAACAGUUGGAAACGACUGCUAAUACCGGAUGAUGACGAAAGUCCAAAGAUUUAUCGCCCAGGGAUGAGCCCGCGUAGGAUUAGCUAGUUGGUGAGGUAAAGGCUCACCAAGGCUACGAUCCUUAGCUGGUCUGAGAGGAUGAUCAGCCACACUGGGACUGAGACACGGCCCAGACUCCUACGGGAGGCAGCAGUAGGGAAUAUUGGACAAUGGGGGCAACCCUGAUCCAGCAAUGCCGCGUGAGUGAUGAAGGCCUUAGGGUUGUAAAGCUCUUUUACCCGGGAUGAUUAUGACAGUACCGGGAGAAUCUACCCCGGCUAACUCCA